rnacentral:misc_RNA from 1 species
GAUGAAGAACGCAGCGAAAUGCGAUAAGUAAUGUGAAUUGCAGAAUUCAGUGAAUCAUCGAAUCUUUGAACGCACAUUGCGCCCCUUGGUAUUCCGAGGGGCAUGCCUGUUCGAGCGUCAUUAUAACCCCUCAAGCUCAGCUUGGUGUUGGGGCCUGCUGCACUGGCAGCCCUUAAAAUCAGUGGCGGCGCCAUCUGGCUCUAAGCGUAGUAAUUCUUCACGCUAUGGAGUCCUGGUGGAUGCUUGCCAUCAACCCCCAAUUUUUCUAUGGUUGACCUCGGAUCAGGUAGGGAUACCCGCUGAACUUAAGCAUAUCAAUAAGCGGAGGA